rnacentral:rRNA from 1 species
UACGUAGGGGGCAAGCGUUGUUCGGAUUUACUGGGCGUAAAGGGCGCGUAGGCGGCAAUUCAAGUCAUCUGUGAAAUCUCCGGGCUUAACUCGGAACGGUCGGAUGAUACUGCUUUGCUAGAGUGCAGAAGGGGCAAUCGGAAUUCUUGGUGUAGCGGUGAAAUGCGUAGAUAUCAAGAGGAACACCUGAGGUGAAGACGGGUUGCUGGGCUGACACUGACGCUGAGGCGCGAAAGCCAGGGGAGCAAACGGG